GUUUACCGUUAUCUUUAAUUAAAAUCCUAUGAAAUAAAAAAAUACAACUAAAACCUAAAUAUAAUUAUAAAUUACUAUAAUACUAACUAAUACUCACUAUAUAUAUAUUGACAAAGAAAUCAUACAAAAACUCUAAAAAGUAAUAAACUACACAUAAUAAAUCUACGAACAAACGGAAUUGACGACUGCAUUUGCUAUUAGAUAAAACUAGAUGCGAAUACAAAGGACUACGUCACCCGCUCGCGAUAAGCGAUGUGCACUGGCCGGUUAAUGAGACACAUACGCGUCCGCGACAUUUCUACCACGGCUUUGACAGCGAAAGGUCAAAUAAACUAAAUCUAAAACGUCAUGAAGUGACAAAUUUUUAAUAUGGUGAAAUAAAAUCUAAAACUAAAUGUGUUAAGUUUAAGUUCCAGUAUUUCCCCAAAUAGGGGACCAAGUCUGGGGUUUCAAUUGGAACACACCGACCCCACUGCGCGUGCUCCCGUUCAUGUUCCGGAAGGUUCCGGCUGAGGAUCCGGAACCCUGCUGAUGACGGCCUCCUCCACAAGUGCGAAACCGUAGUGCAGGGAAGUGACCCCUAUCAAGGGCUUGUUUCCGACCUAACUGUGUAGUGCCAGCUCAGAAAAGACUCACGACCUUGUCCUUCUUUUAGUUAGUUUUUUUUUGUUUUAAAUACAUCUUGUAAAUUUUA